CGCGAAUAGCUCAUUACAACAGCCGUUGUUUCUUGGAUCUCAUCCUUACUUGGAUAACUGUCGAAAUGCGAGAGCUAAUACAUGCAAGAAGCCCUGACCUUUUGGGAUGGGUGCACUUAUUAGAGCAAAACCAAUCAGCCUCGGCUGUCACAUUGGUGAAUCUGAAUAACUGAGCGGAUUGCACUGGUCCUAGUACCGGCGACAUAUCCUUCAAGUGUCUGCCUUAUCAACUUUCGAUGGUAGUUUAUAUGCCUACCAUGGUUGUAACGGGUAACGGAAAAUCAGGGUUUGAUUCCGGAGAGGGCGCCCGAGAAAUGGCGACCACUUCUAAGGAAGGCAGCAGGCGCGUAACUUACCCACUCUCAGAUUGAGGAGGUAGUGACGAAAAAUAUCGAGCUGGUAGUCUUUCGAUUAUCAGCAUCGGAAUGAGAACAAUAUAAAUAUGUUAUCGAGUAACUAGCAGAGGGCAAGUCUGGUGCCAGCAGCCGCGGUAAUUGCAGCUCUGCAAGUGUAUAUCAAUGUUGCUGCGGUUAAAAAGCUCGUAGUUGGAUCUGUGUGACCAGGGUCUGGUCCAGCCAUGUGCUGCGUACUGGUACCCGUCACUUACCACUGCUGGUCUUGUCCCAAUGCCCUUCACUGGGUGUUGGCGACUGGCUAGCGAGUUUACUUUGAAAAAAUUAGAGUGCUCAACACAGGCGCAAUGCCUGAAUACUUCCGCAUGGAAUAAUGGAAGAGGACCUCGGUUCUGUUUUGUUGGUUUUAAGAGCAUGAGGUAAUGAUUAAGAGGAACAGACGGGGGCAUUCGUAUUCCGGCGUUAGAGGCGAAAUUCUUGGAUCGUCGGAAGACGAACAACUGCGAAGGCAUUUGCCAAGAAUGUUCUCAUUAAUCAAGAACGAAAGUUAGAGGUUCGAAGGCGAUCAGAUACCGCCC
rnacentral:rRNA from 1 species